GGUUUCCAUCUUAUUUUUCUAUAAAAAAAACUUUAUAAAACAUACAGCCGUUAUUAUUUGACAUUUAUCGGUCGGUAGUUUUGUACACAAGCGUGUAGUUGUGAACCAUCCUAUCCAGUCUGCAAAGCCAGAUCUCAAUUUCAAACGGUCAAGAUGCCUAAAAGAAAGACCAGUGACCCCAAGACGAAGGAAGAGCCCAGACGUUCGAAAAGGUUGUCAGAUAAACCUAAACCUGAGUUCAAACCCAAAAAAGCUGCACCCAAGAAGCCAGCCAAAGCAAAGAAGGCCAAGGAUGUCCCCGCCGAAAACAACGAUGCCAAGGCGGACCAGGAGUAACACCUUCAACAGAGCCUCUGUUCAGCGCCAGGCACAAAAGGCGGAGGCUCCAGCAGACACCAAAUGAACAGCGUUCACAUUUUUCAUCAUUCUGUGUACUUGGUGACUGUACAGUUGGAAAAUUAACUAUUUUUUACCAAGUUUUAUAUAAAAGAAAUGCGGUUUUUAGUUCCAUUGUUUAGCUUGCAUAUGAUGUAUUGAAACUGUGCGAAGGCGGUUCUUGUGUUAGGAUCUUUUUUUAUGCCAUUGUUCUCUUUAUUCCGUCCGUAUCCUGUCAAAAAAAAUGAUGUGCCCUUCCUAAAUCAGUUUUAAACUGCUGAAUGUUCCCAUUUUAUUUCCUGAAUUUUGGUUUUUAAAAUACAAUUUUAAAUACCAAACAUUAUCAAGGCAGCUAAAAAUAUUUGUAAAAUGAUGUGGGAUUAAAUAUUUCGCCAAUUAUAUUUUUUUCUUUUUAAAAAAAAUAAUAUAAAUGAUACCGGGUGAGUAGUUAAAAUGCUUUGGGAAGAGAUGAACAGCAGGUUUCUGAUAUGUGUAGCAGUUCUGAAUUAUGGUUUCACUGAAAAACAAAUAUAGAUGUGAAAAGAGAAAAUUAAGUCAACCCUUAUGAUUACAUUUGGAAUGUGAACUUUGAUUUUGUUUGAACUGAUGAAAAUGUAUUUUCCUCCCUUAUUUUUUCGACUAAAAAUAAUGUUAAAAGUUUUGGAAGCCUUUGUGAUGUCCUCCUAAAAAUAAUGUUCUUUUCUAGUUUGCGUGAUUAAUAAAGGACACCACGAAAAUCA